GAUUAACGCUGGCGGCAUGCCUUACACAUGCAAGUCGAACGGUAACAGGUCUUCGGAUGCUGACGAGUGGCGAACGGGUGAGAAAUACAUCGGAACGUGCCUAGUAGUGGGGGAUAACUACUCGAAAGAGUGGCUAAUACCGCAUGAGAUCUACGGAUGAAAGCAGGGGAUCGCAAGACCUUGUGCUACUAGAGCGGCCGAUGGCAGAUUAGGUAGUUGGUGGGAUAAAAGCUUACCAAGCCGACGAUCUGUAGCUGGUCUGAGAGGACGAUCAGCCACACUGGGACUGAGACACGGCCCAGACUCCUACGGGAGGAAGCAGUGGGGAAUUUUGGACAAUGGGCGAAAGCCUGAUCCAGCAAUGCCGCGUGCAGGAUGAAGGCCUUCGGGUUGUAAACUGCUUUUGUACGGAACGAAAAGCCCCGGGUUAAUACCCUGGGGUCAUGACGGUACCGUAAGAAUAAGCGCCGGCUAACUACGUGCCAGCAGCCGCGGUAA
rnacentral:rRNA from 1 species